ensembl:misc_RNA
UGGAUAGUUCCAGAAAUGGAACCCUCCUAUUUAGCCACAGAACAGAUAUAGCAUGGGUAGUGGCAGUACAAGCUUCCUUUGAUGGUACUAGGAAUGUGCCUCUAAUCCACUCUGGAGCUACCAUCAACAGGGUGGAGACAGGCCUGGUUCAGCCUCCAGAGCCCAUUUAAUCCUCAGCCUCU